UCAAUUAAAUAAAAUGGUGAAACAAAAGAAUAGCGAAGAAGAAGCAAAUGCGCUUCACGCUAAUUCCAAGUACCAACACAAAACAAAUUCAAUGUUUGGUGAAGCAACUUGCUUAGUGGCGGACGGGUGAGUAACGCGUGAACAAUCUGCCCCGUACAAAGGGAUAGCCUCGGGAAACCGGGAUUAAAACCAUAUAACACUUAACUGCCGCAUGGUAGUGAAGUCAAAUCGAUUAAGAGGUAUGGGAUGAGUUCGCGUCUGAUUAGCUAGUUGGUGAGGUAAGGGCUCACCAAGGCGACGAUCAGUAGCCGGCCUGAGAGGGUGAACGGCCACACUGGAACUGAGACACGGUCCAGACUCCUACGGGAGGCAGCAGUGGGGAAUAUUGCACAAUGGAGGGAACUCUGAUGCAGCGACGCCGCGUGAGUGAAGAAGGUCUUCGGAUCGUAAAACUCUGUCCUUGGUGAAGAAAAGGACGGUAGCCAAGGAGGAAGCCCCGGCUAACUACGUGCCAGCAGCCGCGGUAAUACGUAGGGGGCGAGCGUUGUCCGGAUUUACUGGGCGUAAAGGGUGAGUAGGCGGUUAUAUAUGUCAGGUGUAAAAAGCUAUGGCUUAACCAUAGUAAGCACUUGAAACUGUAUGACUUGAGUGCAGGAGAGGUAAGCGGAAUUCCUAGUGUAGCGGUGAAAUGCGUAGAUAUUAGGAGGAACACCGGUGGCGAAGGCGGCUUACUGGACUGUAACUGACGCUGAGUCACGAAAGCGUGGGUAGCAAACAGGAUUAGAUACCCUGGUAGUCCACGCUGUAAACGAUGAGUGCUAGGUGUUGGGUAGCGAUAUUCAGUGCCGGAGUAAACACAAUAAGCACUCCGCCUGGGGAGUACGUACGCAAGUAUGAAACUCAAAGGAAUUGACGGGGACCCGCACAAGCAGCGGAGCAUGUGGUUUAAUUCGAAGCAACGCGAAGAACCUUA
rnacentral:rRNA from 1 species